UACAGAGGGUGCGAGCGUUAAUCGGAAUUACUGGGCGUAAAGCGUGCGCAGGCGGUUUUGUAAGCCAGAUGUGAAAGCCCCGGGCUUAACCUGGGAAUGGCAUUUGGGACUGCAAGGCUUGAGUGCGGCAGAGGAGACUGGAAUUCCUGGUGUAGCAGUGAAAUGCGUAGAUAUCAGGAGGAAUACCGAUGGCGAAGGCAGGUCUCUGGGCUGACACUGACGCUCAUGCACGAAAGCGUGGGGAGCAAACAGG
rnacentral:rRNA from 1 species